CAUUUGUUACUGCAUAAUUUUGCAGGUCAUCCAAAAUAGUUAUUACACAAAUAUUUUCCCACUAAUACAACACACAAACUUUCACACCAUAUACUUGUCUAAUUGUCGAUUUUAUACAGGAACAUCAGCUCUUCAAAGCUUGUCUAAUUGUUGAUUUUGUAGUAUAAGUGCUUUAGUAUUGGGAGCUGCUAGUUUUUAAUUCAAAUUUGCAGGAUGGAUCACUCAUUGCUGGUAUCUUAGUGUUGGGGUUUCCUGC
rnacentral:lncRNA from 1 species